UUGGUUGCAUGUUUACUCCCAGAAAGGAAUAUUUCUAUUCAGAGCAUCCUUAACAAGUUAUGUUGUCCUGAUGGCUUGCUUAUUUCUGUUACAGUUUCUUGUAGUGCAUCAUCUGUGGAUUUUAUACUUUAUAAAUGUAUUUUUACAGGAUAUUGAGUAUGGCUGCCUGCCUAAAGAUAUCCUGCAUGGUAUCCCUUGCAAAUGCCAAAACGGAAUUAUUGUUUGUGAGGUUAGCUAAAGUCAUAUUUUCCAACUUUAAUGUAUGUAUUAUCUCUGCUGAUGUGGGCUUUCUUUACAUUGUGAUGUACCUAGGUGCGGGACUACAGGUCCUUCCUGUCGAGUGGGGGUGAUUCUUCAGAAUACGACUUCCCCAAAUUGAACAGGAUUGCUCUUAGAUUGGGCACUGAAUGUGUUGUCAAUGAUCUUUCCUUGAUUGCGGACGCUUUGUGGACUUAUCAUGAGCAAUUGAUCAGCACUUCUGUAAACCUGGAAAGGCAAGGUUUAACUGUCAUCUACUACUUCCGAAAUCCCACCUGAUUUAUUUUUCUUAUGCAUAUUUCAGAUUGCCGAGUCGACCAUCAUUAAUUCCUUGCAACCCAGGCUUAAUUUUGACCAUAAGUCAUGCCUUGAAAAGCUUUGCAACCCUGUUAAGAAGAUCGAUUUAGGUCUAUAGGGUGGACAUCGAAUGAAAGAUACAUCUCUUCUCAAUACUUCUCCUGGCCCUCCUGAAAAAUGCAAGCCCAAGGAAUGCGACACCUGUGAAGGUGCAGCAGUAUGCCCCACAAGUUGACAAUGCAAAAUCAACUGUAGUGUCUGAUCCUGAAGAUACUACACAAUGCUCUUCUACCAUUAUCAACAAUUCUGCCUAAUGUGAUAGAGAACAAAGUGCAUCAAGUACUCCUGCUUCUGCUAAUUUUCUUCAGAAUCAUGAUCAGCAGGCGGACUUAGCUAUCAUGAAGGUUGAUCAUAAAAAGGUAUGAUUGCUAACAGAGACAAUUUUACCACAAAAGAGAAAGGAGUGCUCGAAUCUUCUACAUGAAAGGCUGUUUUCAGACAAAAGUGUAAGGUUGUGUUCCCAAAGUUCCAAUGACCAGUUUCAAAGGUUAGUGGGCGCUUCAAAUAAAGGUCUUAUGCUAGGAUCUCCAAAAGAACCGUCGAUUGAGGACAAAGUAGAUCAAACAAUAGGAAACAAGGACAUGGAAGUACAUCAACAGAAGUCCUUCUCAACUCCUUCCUUGAACAUAAAGGAUCCAUGUUCAGAAAAAUUCGCCGAAAAGGUUAACAGGGGUCUCGGAAAGAACUGCCAGUUGAGGUUAUGGUUGAUCAGACCAUGGGCAAAAGAAUAUGAGAUUACAGGAACAGAAGUCCUUCUCAGUUAUACCAACAAAUCACCCACUUCCUUCCUUCAACAGAAAUGGUCCAUGUUUAGAAGAGUUCCCUGAAAAGGUUUAAAGCUGGGAUCUCGAAAAGAGCUUCCUUCAACAAAUCACCUCUGUAACCUCCUGCAAUGCAAGUUCAAGAAAUGCAGAUGCCAAACCUCACGAGGAUACAGCUUCUACGGAGCCCCAGCCUACUACUUCAAAGAUAAAAGUAUGAUGAACUUCUACCAUUUCUCUGAACCAGCAAAUCGAUUUCGAAGGGAACAGGCAGAAACAAGCUGAUAUUCUGGUCAGGCGUUCGUGUGAGGACAGAAGCUCAAUAGAGCCAGAUGUUACUGAUGGUACUAGCAGUCAAUUUGGUAUUUCUUCAGAUGUUGUGCAUUGGACACCCUUUAUAUGACAUUUAACCUAACAGAAAAGAUUCUAUCAGAGGUCAACCUGACCACCCAGAGGUGUUGCUUUGUACAACUUCACUCUCUGCACUUUUCAUUUUAAGUUGGAUUUUUUUUCCGUGCAACUGGCGCCAGAAUUAUAGAAGUUCUUUACAAAAAAAAAUCUUGUCCAUUAUUCUUUGUGUAGGCAUGCACCAAAUGGAAAUGCUGCUAAAAUUGAUGGUUGAAACAUUGACGCCAUUGAAUUCCUGCUCACCAUCUUGUUUCGUUCGGUAUGAUAGUGCUGAGGGAAGUCCAUACACGUGGGAAUAGGCCAUUUCAUGCUGUCCGACUCGGAGAAUGAAACAUACUCGAAAUAUUAGAUGCCUUGUUUUUCACCAUGUACAGUAUUUCUGUAGAGGUAUAGUUGAUCAAUAUCAUUACUUACUUCGCCUUUUUGAGUCUGAAUCACCAGAUGAGUGUUUUCACAUCGCUACUCUUCCCACUUCUGUGAGUACUAUUUUAAUUCACUUUUACAAUGCAAAAACAAUAGUAUAAUACCUCCUCAUAUCUGUCUCCUCCAUAGUAUGCUUUUGCAGGAUCAAGCAAAAAAGUUUGUCGAUCAAUUCAUUCUUCUGGUAAAUAAGCAUUGUCUUCCAAGGCAUUCAUUGUUUUGACAAGAAAUUGAACCUUUCUGUCUUUGUCCGGUUAAAAAAAACAUUCUGUCUGUGGCCACUUGCCGUUAGGCACUGACAAGCAAGGUUUUUGAGUCGUGACUUGGCGAGUCGCCGCGAGCCCUGCGGCUCGGCGUAUAGUCGACGAAAGUCGCUGUAUAGUCGUUGUAUAGUCGCGAGUCGCCCUGAUUUUUGGAAAACGACUUGGCGAUUAGUCGGCGACUAUACAGCGACU